AUUGAACGCUGGCGGCAUGCUUUACACAUGCAAGUUGAACGGUAACAGGCCUUCGGGUGCUGACGAGUGGCGAACGGGUGAGUAAUGCAUCGGAACGUACCCAGAGGUGGGGGAUAACGCAGCGAAAGCUGUGCUAAUACUGCAUGUGAUCUGAGGAUGAAAGCGGGGGACCGAGCAGCAAUGUUUGGCCUCGCGCCUUUGGAGCGGCCGAUGUCGGAUUAGCUAGUUGGUGGGGUAAAGGCCUACCAAGGCGACGAUCCGUAGCUGGUCUGAGAGGACGACCAGCCACACUGGGACUGAGACACGGCCCAGACUCCUACGGGAGGCAGCAGUGGGGAAUUUUGGACAAUGGGCGCAAGCCUGAUCCAGCAAUGCCGCGUGCGGGAAGAAGGCCUUCGGGUUGUAAACCGCUUUUGGCAGGAACGAAACGGUGUCCGCUAAUACCGGGCGCUAAUGACGGUACCUGCAGAAUAAGCACCGGCUAACUACGUG
rnacentral:rRNA from 1 species